rnacentral:pre_miRNA from 1 species
UGAGGUAGUAGGUUAUGCAGUUAUAGCCUCCCUUUUAUACUGAGUGGAGCACAGGAGAUACUGUGUAACCUUCUGCCUUUG